rnacentral:rRNA from 1 species
CCUACGGGUGGCAGCAGUGGGGAAUAUUGGACAAUGGGCGAAAGCCUGAUCCAGCCAUGCCGCGUGUGUGAAGAAGGCCUUCGGGUUGUAAAGCACUUUCAGUGGGGAAGAAAGCCUUGGGGCUAAUACCCUCGAGGAAGGACAUCACCCACAGAAGAAGCACCGGCUAACUCCGUGCCAGCAGCCGCGGUAAUACGGAGGGUGCGAGCGUUAAUCGGAAUUACUGGCGUAAAGCGCGCGUAGGCGGUCUGAUAAGCCGGUUGUGAAAGCCCCGGGCUCAACCUGGGAACGGCAUCCGGAACUGUCAGGCUAGAGUGCAGGAGAGGAAGGUAGAAUUCCCGGUGUAGCGGUGAAAUGCGUAGAGAUCGGGAGGAAUACCAGUGGCGAAGGCGGCCUUCUGGACUGACACUGACGCUGAGGUGCGAAAGCGUGGGUAGCAAACAGGAUUAGAUACCCCUGUAGUC